GUGUCAGCCGCCGCGGUAAUACGGAGGGUGCGAGCGUUGUCCGGAAUCACUGGGCGUAAAGGGCGCGUAGGUGGCUUCUCAAGCGCGCGGUGAAAGCCCGGGGCUCAACCCCGGGUCGGCCGUGCGGACUGGGAGGCUCGAGCACUGUAGGGGCGGGUGGAAUUCCGGGUGUAGCGGUGGAAUGCGUAGAGAUCCGGAAGAACACCGGUGGCGAAGGCGGCCCGCUGGGCAGGAAGGGUGUCGCAAGGCACCCGGCUGACACUGAGGCGCGACAGCGUGGGGAGCAAACAGGAUUAGAUACCCGCGUAGUCC
rnacentral:rRNA from 1 species